AAUAAUGGUGGACUGAAUGGGGCAGCCGAAAGGCUGGCUAGUUGGUUACUCGGUAGUCUGAAACCUGUUCAGUUCACCACCAAU
rnacentral:antisense_RNA from 1 species